CCUGGUGUUCAUGGCACGGUGGAACCACACUGACCCAUCCCGAACUCAGAGGUGAAACGCUGUAGCGGCGACGAUACUUUGGGGGCAGCCCCACGGGACAAUAGCUCGAUGCCAGGG
rnacentral:rRNA from 1 species